CAUCAAGAUUCGUCUGCCCAAUGUCCACGACGAAGGAGGAUCAAGAUGAGGCCUAGGCGCGUGAGGAUAGGAGCGCCAUGAGGCAGGUAUUUCUGACCCUCUCGCAGCUCCCCGCCACCGACCUCCGGACCUCCAACGCUGUUGGUUCUCCCCGAGCCCGGAUGCCAAGAUCCCUCGGGCCUCUGCCCACCGUCCAUGGCGGAGGAGGAGCACGACGGGGCCUGGGCGCACGAGAUCCCUCUGACCCCGCCGCCAAGAUACCUCUAACCACAGCGACCUGAUCCAGUUUCCUCAUUUAUUGCAAUAUAAGGGUUGCAAUCUGGGGGCCAGUUCAUUGCGGUGCACCACAGUUCACCAUAACUUUUUCCGCUUCUCCAAUAUUCUGAAACUGUUGGAUGAGGCAUAACUGGCUCCAAUUCUUUAGGAACAGAUUUGAACAUUCGGUCAUUCUAAAAUUUCUUGAAGAACUUGCUAUGUCGUGCAUUUCCGUGCCUACAAUAAUGGUAACAAGUCAUCUUCGCUAAAAUAUAAUAUGAUGUUCAUCCUAAUCAAAACAGUUGUUCAACCAUCUCAAUUCUGAAUAUAUCUAUGUACAUUUUCCUUAUAUCUCAGUUUUGCAGAAGAAACAACUUUCGAAUUCUCGUCAGAAUAAGAUUCAGUGGUAUUCGGCAACAGAUUAUUCUUAUGUGUAGUCCCGGAUCUUUUUCAGCAUGUGAAAGUUUCAAAACCCGAUUCCUUAUUUGACACUAGAAAAGCUUAUCUUCCCUAUUUCAUACCAUGCCAAAUUUUCUUUGCCUAUAUGACAUUGCCGUCUGUAACCUUGGGCUCUUCUGUCAAAUUUUCUUGAUCAAAUUCCUCAAUUUCUACAGCAAAGGUCUCAAACUAUCUUUUAGUCUGGUUGGUAUUAAUAUAUAGGGAAGACACUAAUAUAAGUUUGGAGGUAGAGCUGUGCAUACCCCAAUAAUACCAUGUAUCAAGAAUUGGAAUAUGGAAAUAAAGAGAGUACAAGGGCGAUAUGAAUUGUACAUCUCGUUGCACCUUCUGUCAUGAAAACUUUGGAUUCAGGACCAUACCCAACCAUUUGCUAGAGGAAACAAAACCAAACCAAACUCUUGUCAGAGUCAACCCAUUAAGGCCUGAACCAAAUGAGACCGUUCGCACAACCUGACCCAAAGCACCCGGUUAAGCCAGAACCAAUCUCACAUUUAGUUGUAGUUGCCUUUAUAACUUUAUUUAUGUCUCUGCUCCGACACGUGACCAUUUGAAAAAUUAACGCUUAUAUUAAAACAUAUAACAUAUACUUUCUGAGGUGACUAUCCACAUUUUUAAGGUAUAUGGAUUUGGGGCACUCCUGUUGAGGUUGAUGGCUCCAAAGUGUAUGUCUUUUACCUGGACACUGAAGGAUUUGAGAGCAUUGGAAAAUCGAAUGUAUACGAUGAUAGGUUUGUUGCCUACAAAUAAUAUGUGCAAUAAUUAUGCAUUAUUAAUUUCUCGUUCAGAUGUGUUUUGGGGCCUUUUGUUUUCAAAGGAUAUUUGCUCUUGUAAAUUUUUUUUUUUUUUUGAGUUCUCUUCUUGUCUACAAUCUCCCCGAGAGAAUGUGUUUCUAUGGUCUUUGAUGCCUCCGCAACUCAUAUUCGAUACUCUGCUUUAACUAAUAGCAUCUCCUUGUCUUAGUAUGUGCUUGAUAUACAAACUGAACAACACGCUGAACAUGAAGAUCUGGGAGAGGGAGCAACCCACAUCCUGAGUUGGAAAAAUAAAGUGCUGGGAAUUGUAUCUUCUUCGGGAAAACGAUGAGGAUGAGACCUUUGGUGGCUGAAAUCAGUCAACCUGAAACACUACUGUUCAUCUGCUCCCUAUGACCUGACGCAAUCUCCUGAGACUAAGGCACUGGGCUUUGCUGCAGGAUUUAGAUCUUCCUAUCUAUUUGCCUACGUAUCUGGUAUCGGGAUGUACAAUACCCAGAAACUGGUGCCACAGGAGGCCUCUCACAUUGGAUGUUCUUCCUACGAUGUCAGGCGCUUCUACACACUUUGGACUUUUUUUAGCUAGGAUGUUUCUAGAUAGACUAGCAGCAUCAGAAAUGCAUUUUAUUCAGCUAUGCACACCUAUAAAAAUUAAUAUGAAUAAAAGACGCUGCUAGAUAACCAUUCUAGGGGGAGCUGCUGGGAUCUAUUAGGAUUAUCAUCGAGACUGAUUUGAAACUGUUGAUGCUAGCACUCAAUAAGCGCCAAUGCAACGCUGGAAAAUUUGAAACUACAGCUUGUUGUGAGGUCAUAGCUUGUAGGUGAGAGGAAAAUACACCAGCACAUGAGAUGGACAGUUAGGAAGCCAAGCAAACAUAAUAUAAUGUUUUAGUUUCUACCUGAUAAAUACCAUUGAUAUUAACAUUAUUACUGCAGUUCUUCAUUUUGAUGGUGCGUAAAAUUAGAGCUGCUGCUUGGUUUCACCCAAAAUUCUUUGAUGUUUAAUGUAAGAUUUUGAAGUAUAUUAUACUUCAAUUGAUGGCACUAUGUCAAUUAGUGGUCCAUUAUCUAGAGGAUUUACUCACAGGACAAUGUUUGUUCACUUUCUAGGGGGAUUUUGUGGAUCAACUCAUUCAAUCACGCGCGUGUGAUGACAUCUUUGAGUAUGCGCGGCCAGGGAUGGAGCUGACAGGGAGCAGCGGCAGGCCGUGGGUGGUCAUCCCAGCGAGCCAGGGCUUCGGUGAGAACAUCGCCGACUUCAAAGACGAUGCACGACAGCUCGACGCCACCUCUGGUUUCUGCCCUGACGUGCUCUACUCUGCCUCCGUAGGCGCGUCGCGUGGAACCGCCUUCUGUUCGAACCUGGAACCGUCCCGUCUCACCAUGUGCACCUAGCUAGGUUUGUCGGUUCACCUAAAGCAUGUGCCAUAUUGCUUGUCAAGGAAUAUGUUUCGGAAAAACAGUUUGAUUGUAGGUGCAUAUUAUUCAGUAUUUCCUAGAAAUAGUUUGUAUACAACAUGAAGUAGUUUUUCUUUGGUAAAAUAUACUCAAGGAUGAGUGAAUAUUCCUCAAAACUGUUUAGUUGUACACAACAUGAACUAAUAAUAAUAACU